GACGAACGCUGGCGGCGUGCCUAAUACAUGCAAGUCGAGCGAAGUUUUUCUGGUGCUUGCACUAGAAAAACUUAGCGGCGAACGGGUGAGUAACACGUAAAGAACCUGCCUCAUAGACUGGGACAACUAUUGGAAACGAUAGCUAAUACCGGAUAACAGCAUUAACUGCAUGGUUGAUGUUUAAAAGUUGGUUUUGCUAACACUAUGAGAUGGCUUUGCGGUGCAUUAGCUAGUUGGUGGGGUAAAGGCCUACCAAGGCGACGAUGCAUAGCCGACCUGAGAGGGUGAUCGGCCACACUGGGACUGAGACACGGCCCAGACUCCUACGGGAGGCAGCAGUAGGGAAUCUUCCGCAAUGGGCGAAAGCCUGACGGAGCAACGCCGCGUGAGUAAAGAAGGAUUUCGGUUCGUAAAGCUCUGUUGUUAGGGAAGAAUGAUUGUGUAGUAACUAUACACAGUAGAGACGGUACCUAACCAGAAAGCCACGGCUAACUACGUG
rnacentral:rRNA from 1 species